rnacentral:rRNA from 1 species
UACGUAGGGCGCAAGCGUUGUCCGGAAUUAUUGGGCGUAAAGAGCUCGUAGGCGGCUUGUCACGUCGGGUGUGAAAGCCCGGGGCUUAACCCCGGGUCGGCAUUCGAUACGGGCUAGCUAGAGUGUGGUAGGGGAGAUCGGAAUUCCUGGUGUAGCGGUGAAAUGCGCAGAUAUCAGGAGGAACACCGGUGGCGAAGGCGGAUCUCUGGGCCAUUACUGACGCUGAGGAGCGAAAGCGUGGGGAGCAAACAGG